rnacentral:snoRNA from 1 species
GGAGCAUCCAUGAUGUAUUGUUACCUCUACAUUCAUCCUUGCACUUUGAGGGAAGGUUGCCCCUUUCUAGUGAAGAAAACAUUGUGGGAAAGUAUCUGAGAGGCUC